UAUCUCUGUAGAGUCUGCAUAUCAAUAAGCGGAGGAAAAGAAACUAACAAGGAUUCCCCUAGUAACGGCGAGUGAAGCGGGAAGAGCUCAAAUUUGAAAUCUUCAAGGUUUGACCUUGACGAAUUGUAGUUUAAAGAAGUGUUUUCGGUUAGAGGAGUAGUAAAAGUUCUUUGGAAUAGGACAUCAUAGAGGGUGAGAAUCCCGUAUUUGACUAUUCUUUCUAGCUUUGUGAUACACUUUCAAAGAGUCGGAUUGUUUGGGUAUGCAGUCCAAAAUGGGUGGUAAAUUUCAUCUAAAGCUAAAUAUUGGCGAGAGACCGAUAGCGAACAAGUAGCCGUGAGGGAAAGAUGAAAAGAACUUUGAAAAGAGAGUUAAACAGUACGUGAAAUUGUCAAAAGGGAAGCGUUUGACACCAGUGUUGUUUUCUCGAAAAUCAAUUAAAAAUUGAUUCAUGCCAGGUUGUAUUGACCUUAUCAGCUUGCAAUUUGGUUUUGGGUCUCUUUUUGAUGCACUUUUCGGUUAACAAGUCAACAUCAAUUUCCUUUGCUGUAAAAAGGUAAGAGGAAGGUGGCUUCAAUUUCGGUUGAAGUGUUUAUAGCCUUUUAUCUCUAGCAGUCGGGGAGAUUGAGGUCUGCAGCGUAGAUCCUUCGGGGCUAGAUACAUUUAUGCUAAGUUAUAGCUUUUCAUAGACAACUUGUUGACUAUGUUUAGUCAUGUAGCUUACUCGUAAGUGCUAUUUUACCUACGCUUAGGAUGUUGAAGACUCUACAGAGAUA
rnacentral:rRNA from 1 species